AGUGUACUUCCUUGGGCUUCUGGGCAUAUAAUUCCUGUGGCCUCUGGGUGUGUACCCU
rnacentral:pre_miRNA from 1 species